rnacentral:rRNA from 1 species
AAUUUUGGACAAUGGGCGAAAGCCUGAUCCAGCCAUGCCUCGUGCAGGAUGAAGGCCUUCGUGCUGUAAACUGCUUUUGUACGGAACGCAAAGACUCCUUCUACUCAAUGGGGUCCAUGACGGUACCGUAAUAAUAAGCACCGGCUAACUAAGUGCCAGCAGCCGCGGUAAUACGUAGGGUGCAAGCGUUAAUCGGAAUUACUGGGCGUAAAGCGUGCGCAGGCGGUUAUAUAAGACAGAUGUGAAAUCCCCGGGCUCAACCUGGGAACUGCAUUUGUGACUGUAUAGCUAGAGUACGGUAGAGGGGGAUGGAAUUCCGCGUGUAGCAGUGAAAUGCGUAGAUAUGCGGAGGAACACCGAUGGCGAAGGCAAUCCCCUGGCCCUGUACUGACGCUCAUGCACGAAAGCGUGGGGAGCAAACAG